rnacentral:rRNA from 1 species
UACGUAGGGUCCAAGCGUUAAUCGGAAUUACUGGGCGUAAAGCGUGCGCAGGCGGUUGUGUAAGACAGAUGUGAAAUCCCCGGGCUCAACCUGGGAACUGCAUUUGUGACUGCACAGCUGGAGUGCGGCAGAGGGGGAUGGAAUUCCGCGUGUAGCAGUGAAAUGCGUAGAUAUGCGGAGGAACACCGAUGGCGAAGGCAAUCCCCUGGGCCUGCACUGACGCUCAUGCACGAAAGCGUGGGGAGCGAACAGG